UCCUUCUGUGGAAGGUGGCGGAGGCCGAGUCGCGGUCGCAAUUGGUCGCACAGGUUGCUGCUGGCACCCUGCGUGUGGCGUGCGCUGGGACUCAGCUCUGGGGAAAAAGCGAAGCAAGCGUUGGAAGUAUGCAGCCUUUAACAGGACUAACCCGGAACAAAAAGGUCAGAGAAAGCUUCACACAGACAACUUUCGAUUCUGAUGUUGGAGAACACCCCAGCCUUCUGUCCAAGCCCCGUCUACACUCCCUUAAUAUAGUUACCACUUAGCCAUUCCUUAGGAGGAUGGAACUUGGGAAGAGGACUGUGCAGACCCUGGAAGCAGACUUGACCUUUGGGGUAGGGAAUUCGAGGUUGCCCAUAGCAUGAUCCAGACGGGGGGCGGUGAGCUCCAUGUGGACACGCCCAUUGAUUCCAUGGACCUCUCACCCCAUGGGGAGAUGCACCGGACAGAAGAUCCAGAAAUUUAAGAUUUCUGUAAGAGAAGAAAAAAUUGUAACAGAACAAUAAUUUACGGAGUACGAGUAAGUGUGUGUGUCAAAAUAAAGGUCUUAAAGGAAAAAGUCCUGGGUCCUGACGACAGUUGUGGCUGGAGACUGAAGCACUUUACGAGAAAGCCUCAUUCUUCCAUCAGCUGGAUCUCGUCCAAAGUAUUUCACCUGUGUUAAAGAAGCAUAUUUACUUUUAAAGUUAUAGCACAUUGAUUAAAUCUAAACUAAAAGACAUUUAAAUUUACAUGGUCGAAAUAAAGCAAUGAUUGCACUCUAACUGA